UAUUGUUAUUUUAAGUGAAUAAGUAAAUAUAUUUCAAACUUGAAGUAAUAAUAAUAGAAGCGGAUUGAAGUUGCAACAAAAACCUAUGGGAAUGGCUACGGGAAGUACUUCAUGUUUGUAGAAAGUAUACCAACUAACCAAAAAUGCCCCAAGCUGACAUAGUCAUAGUAAACACUUUGGGAUGGUAGAAAGAGUUUUCCAACCACGUUCUAUGUUGUCCGCAAGGCAUUAGUUAUUCUUUAGUCCUAGAGAUACACACACGAGAGGCACCAAGAGUAACUCAAGCUGUGUUCAAUAAGCCUUUUAAAAGGGCUUACAUUUCUUUUUUUUUUUUUUCUUUUUUCUUCUUUUUUUUUUUUGAAACAUAGUCUUGCUGUCACCCAGGCUGGAGUGCAGUGGCGCAAUCUCUGCUCACUGCAACCUCUGGGUUCAAGCAAUUCUCAUGCCUCAGCCUUCUGAGUGACUGGGAUUACAGGCACGUGUCACCGCACCUGACUAAUUUUUGUAUUUUUAGUAGAGAUGGGGUCUUGUCAUUUUGGCCAGGCUGGUCUUGAACUCCUGGCCUCAAGUGAUCUGCCUGCCUCGGCCUCCCAAAGUGUUGGGAUUACAGGCAUGAGCCACCACACCCACCCAAGCGCUCACAUUUCUUACAAAGGGUAGCUUACCAUAAAAUAUCCAACUGCAUUGAGGACCUAAGUUAAACUUGAUUCAUUCCAUCUGCAGCCCAGCUCCAACAGUGAGAUUCUUUUCACCAUAAAUAAACCAGUGUCCAGGGUCCUAAACACAAGAUCGGUGACUAGAAGGGGAGUUUGGGUUUUCUCCACUUGGCAGUGUGAAACGACUGAAGAAUCUGUCUACAAAUGACCUAUCUAGAACGCCUUAGUUCUACUGUCCUUGGGUUUGUAGUGUGGGCAAGUGUCAGGGGAUUUGGCUCCAGUUCUGAGCCUAUGGGUCUUAAGCAGGUCACUCACUCUCCUGGGUCUUGGCUUCUUUCUCUGUAAAAUAAAAGGGCUAGAUGAGAUUGUUUCUUUG
rnacentral:lncRNA from 10 species